rnacentral:lncRNA from 10 species
CAUGGACUUCUUAUUGGCAUAUUUCCCCAGACAUGGUGUUUUCUUUGUCUUGGAGAAUCGUUUAGGUUAAAUGGGUGUUGCAUACAAAGAAUGACAGGAAUUUGGUGAUCAUUAUUUAAAAAAAGAGAGAGAGAGAAGAGAAAUGAAACAAAAAUAGGCCACUCUCAGUGCUCUUCCAGGACCCAGCAACUCGGAGCAGUUCUCUUUUCUCCCCCAGCAAAAGCCUUUGCUGGCACCAGGGGACUUCUGGAUACCCUACUGGAAUGCCUCUGGUGCCACAGAAACCAUUCUCUAAAGCCAAGGCCUUCAUCUUCGCUCUGUGAACCACAUGAUCUAUUUCACUCCACCUCUCCCACAUGCCUUCUUCUACCGCUAACAAUCCCAUCUGUCUGCCCUGUGACCUCGGGGAAGUCUUUCUAAUGGAGUCAUUUCCUGGGUAACCCCCACUAAGUCAGGGCCGGCUGAACUGGCAGAUGCAGACCUGUGAACACAAAGGGCCAACUGUCCAUCUCUUACAUGCUUUGUGGAAUGGAGGUUUAUUCGGACUGAGUAUAUUCAUACAUGUGAUGCCGAAUUUCUGAAAGAAGUUCUACGUGGGUCAUUCAGUCCCUGAAAUCCUAUUCUAAGUCUGCUCACUUCAGAAUCCAUGAAGAAUCUGCCUCUGACAUCCUCAGUGCCACAUUAACUAGUGCCUAUGGGCGGCACAGAGCAUACUAUGGGGACACUCAUUCUGCAAUCAAGGAAAUCAAGGGAAAUAGAAGUUAGGUCACUAAUUUUUUUCUAACACAUAGAAAAUAAGAAAUAAAAUUCACAAGCCUCCAAUAUUUACAUGUUAAGUGGUAGGUGGUUAAUAAAUCUUUGUAAGUAAAAGCAAGAAGACAAAGUGUUUGAGUUACUGGAUCAUUGCUGCCUCCCAAAGAACAGAAUACAUGUUGAGCCUGGAAGGGCAGACUCCUACAAAUGACUGGAAAGCUCAACUGAUUGGAGUAUCAUUCUCGGCCUAUGACACUGACCUCCCAUAAGUAGCCUCCAAUUUUGUUAUUUACUGAUUCUGAAGCAAUUUCCAAAAUCUGUAAAUUUUCCACCCACUUUCUUCCGGCUUCUGAAACUAUAGAAUACUUUGCGACUGAAGUUUAUACCGCUGACCCUGAACUUUCCAUUCACUUGCCAGCAACAAUGUAUUUUUUUAUUAUGCGUAGUACUCUAUAUUUGAUAUCAUUUAUAUUGAAAUAAAGCUUUCACUUUAUAAUAGUUACAUUAUGUAUAAAUUAUGUAUAAAUGCAUGGCAUAUGCUACAUUAUAAUGAAAUGUAUUCUUUCAUAAUAGCUCCUACUACAUACCAG